rnacentral:lncRNA from 1 species
UUGUGUGUUGGGUGUAUCCCAGAAGCCCACAUCAAAUGGAAAAUCACCCUCACCUCCCUGGAUUUGUUCAAUCAUACCAUCCAUGGGUCCCUUUUUCUGUGCUGCAGUUUCUUCUGUCCUGAGGCUUGCGAUAAGCAUCUCUCCAGAAGCCGAAAAGUCAGUUUCUUGAUCCAUUUGAGCAUGCUCAGCUAACAGGCUUUCCCACCAUAUGAUGUCAUCAUUCGGUUGUGGUGACGUGGAUCAGCUUACUGGAAGUACUUACUUGUGUGUCAAAAGUAUCCACAGCUGUAGUUUUUAGUUCAAACCUUGGCAAGGCUUUGGAGAACUUGUGAGGGUGAGGUUUUAUAGCUUUGGUUUUAGAAUGUGUUCCCUUUUUCUGUGUUGCAGUUUCUUCUGUCCAGAGGCUUGCGAUAAGCAUCUCUCCAGAAGCCGAAAAGUCAGUUUCUUGAUCCAUUUGAGCAUGCUCAGCUAACAGGCUUUCCCACCAUAUGAUGUCAUCAUUCGGUUGUGGUGACGUGGAUGAUGGCUUACUGGAAGUACUUACUUGUGUGUCAAAAGUAUCCACAGCUGUAGUUUUUAGUUCAAACCUUGGCAAGGCUUUGGAGAACUUGUGAGGGUGAGGCUUUAUAGCUUUGGUUUUAGAAUGUGUUUGGGGUUUUUUUCUCCCUUCUUCCUGGAACUGAACCUUCUUUUUCAGGUGGUGACCAUGCCAAUAGUUCUUGACAUCAUUAGCAGUCCUCCCUGGAAGCCUACCCGCAAUCAAGGACCAUCUAUACACGCACAACAUCAGACAAAGUAUCAACUGAACAGCUCUUUUGUAAGUUCUGAACAGCUUCAGAACUAAUAUAAUAUCAUUAUCAAGCUAGUACUUGAGUUAUUAUAGACUUGCCUGUUCCCCAACAAAUUGUGAAGCCUAAUCAUGAGAUCAACCUCGUCUAAUGCAAACUCUCCUCUCUUGAUAUCUGGCUUCAAAUAAUUGAGCCAUCUCAAUCUGCAGCUCUUUAGGCAUCUAUUCAACCCUGCAAACUCAAGAAAACGAAACUCUUUAAGCAAAACAGAAGUAAAAAAAACACAAAUUAAUACUGAUCCCUUUCUCUU